rnacentral:ribozyme from 1 species
AAGGAUAUUAUUACUAUUAUUAAGGAGGAUAUUAUUAAGGAUAGGGUUAUUAUUAUUAUUAAGGAGGAAAAGGAUUAGGGGGUUAUUAUUAAUUUUAAGGAUAGGGUUAUGGGGGAUAUUAUUAAGGAGGUUAAUUAAAUUAUUAAGGUG